rnacentral:rRNA from 1 species
GAUGAACGCUGGCUACAGGCUUAACACAUGCAAGUCGAGGGGAAACGGCAUUGAGUGCUUGCACUGAAUGGACGUCGACCGGCGCACGGGUGAGUAACGCGUAUCCAACCUUCCCGUUACUGCGGGAUAACCUGCCGAAAGGCAGACUAAUACCGCAUGUUCUUCGAUGACGGCAUCAGAUUCUAAGCAAAGAUCCGUCGGUAACGGAGGGGGAUGCGUCUGAUUAGCUAGUUGGCGGGGCGACGGCCCACCAAGGCGACGAUCAGUAGGGGUUCUGAGAGGAAGGUCCCCCACAUUGGAACUGAGACACGGUCCAAACUCCUACGGGAGGCAGCAGUGAGGAAUAUUGGUCAAUGGGCGGAAGCCUGAACCAGCCAAGUAGCGUGCAGGAUGACGGCCCUACGGGUUGUAAACUGCUUUUAUGCGGGGAUAAAGUGAGGGACGCGUCCCUUUUUGCAGGUACCGAAUGAAUAAGGACCGGCUAAUUCCGUG